AAAUUGAAGAGUUUGAUCAUGGCUCAGAUUGAACGCUGGCGGCAGGCCUAACACAUGCAAGUCGAGCGGUAGCACAGAGAGCUUGCUCUCGGGUGACGAGCGGCGGACGGGUGAGUAAUGUCUGGGAAACUGCCUGAUGGAGGGGGAUAACUACUGGAAACGGUAGCUAAUACCGCAUAACGUCGCAAGACCAAAGUGGGGGACCUUCGGGCCUCAUGCCAUCAGAUGUGCCCAGAUGGGAUUAGCUAGUAGGUGAGGUAACGGCUCACCUAGGCGACGAUCCCUAGCUGGUCUGAGAGGAUGACCAGCCACACUGGAACUGAGACACGGUCCAGACUCCUACGGGAGGCAGCAGUGGGGAAUAUUGCACAAUGGGCGCAAGCCUGAUGCAGCCAUGCCGCGUGUGUGAAGAAGGCCUUCGGGUUGUAAAGCACUUUCAGCGGGGAGGAAGGCGUUAAGGUUAAUAACCUUGGCGAUUGACGUUACCCGCAGAAGAAGCACCGGCUAACUCCGUGCCAGCAGCCGCGGUAAUACGGAGGGUGCAAGCGUUAAUCGGAAUUACUGGGCGUAAAGCGCACGCAGGCGGUCUGUCAAGUCGGAUGUGAAAUCCCCGGGCUUAACCUGGGAACUGCAUUCGAAACUGGCAGGCUAGAGUCUUGUAGAGGGGGGUAGAAUUCCAGGUGUAGCGGUGAAAUGCGUAGAGAUCUGGAGGAAUACCGGUGGCGAAGGCGGCCCCCUGGACAAAGACUGACGCUCAGGUGCGAAAGCGUGGGGAGCAAACAGGAUUAGAUACCCUGGUAGUCCACGCCGUAAACGAUGUCGAUUUGGAGGUUGUGCCCUUGAGGCGUGGCUUCCGGAGCUAACGCGUUAAAUCGACCGCCUGGGGAGUACGGCCGCAAGGUUAAAACUCAAAUGAAUUGACGGGGGCCCGCACAAGCGGUGGAGCAUGUGGUUUAAUUCGAUGCAACGCGAAGAACCUUACCUGGUCUUGACAUCCACAGAACUUAGCAGAGAUGCUUUGGUGCCUUCGGGAACUGUGAGACAGGUGCUGCAUGGCUGUCGUCAGCUCGUGUUGUGAAAUGUUGGGUUAAGUCCCGCAACGAGCGCAACCCUUAUCCUUUGUUGCCAGCGGUCCGGCCGGGAACUCAAAGGAGACUGCCAGUGAUAAACUGGAGGAAGGUGGGGAUGACGUCAAGUCAUCAUGGCCCUUACGACCAGGGCUACACACGUGCUACAAUGGCAUAUACAAAGAGAAGCGACCUCGCGAGAGCAAGCGGACCUCAUAAAGUAUGUCGUAGUCCGGAUUGGAGUCUGCAACUCGACUCCAUGAAGUCGGAAUCGCUAGUAAUCGUAGAUCAGAAUGCUACGGUGAAUACGUUCCCGGGCCUUGUACACACCGCCCGUCACACCAUGGGAGUGGGUUGCAAAAGAAGUAGGUAGCUUAACCUUCGGGAGGGCGCUUACCACUUUGUGAUUCAUGACUGGGGUGAAGUCGUAACAAGGUAACCGUAGGGGAACCUGCGGUUGGAUCACCUCCUUA
rnacentral:rRNA from 1 species